rnacentral:rRNA from 1 species
UACAGAGGGUGCAAGCGUUAAUCGGAAUUACUGGGCGUAAAGCGCGCGUAGGUGGUUUGUUAAGUUGGAUGUGAAAGCCCCGGGCUCAACCUGGGAACUGCAUCCAAAACUGGCAAGCUAGAGUACGGUAGAGGGUGGUGGAAUUUCCUGUGUAGCGGUGAAAUGCGUAGAUAUAGGAAGGAACACCAGUGGCGAAGGCGACCACCCGGACUGAUACUGACACUGAGGUGCGAAAGCGUGGGGAGCAAACAGG